AUGUCAUACCAGAUAGUACAACAGAAGAGGGGAGGCUACCCCAUUUUAGGGGCAGCACAUGCCACAAACUUCCUUGAGAACUUUUUAUAAAAAAACUAAUGGUACAACUUAUUCUAAUUUUAUUUUGGAAAUGUUUUGAAUUGAAAAUUAAUUAGGAGUUUAAUAAAGGUGUGAGUAUUAAAACCCUAAAUCAACUACUAAUUUUUAUUUAAAAAAAUUAUGUAAUCGACAUAUAAAUUCAUUAUUACAUUAAUGCUAGGGACUUCAAUAAAAAACUAAAAACUAAUAAGGUCUCAAUUAAUGAACAUUAGUAACUAGGAAACGCUCAAACGGAUUCUAAUUAUCUCAAGUUAAAACUAAUCUUAUGAAUAAUCAAGCAUAUAUAUCUGAAAAAUAUUUGAGGUUCAAGCUCUAUAUAUUUUCAAAACAAAAUGGAGAAGUAGACAAUUAUAUAGACAGAGAAGGAGAAGACAGCAACAAUAUGCUACCAUAAGAGAAGAGGAGAAGCCUUUUCUACUACAUAACCCCUCAAGCUCGCAACUGCUCCUAACAAUAUGGCAGAUGGUUUUGUGUAUUGCAACAAAAGAACGAAUCGAUAGAAUUGAUCAUCUGCUACCAAAAGGUUCAAUUUAUCCGAAAACAGAACCACAUCAAUCCCAAUCAAAGGAAGUACCAAAAGCCUUGCAACAAUAAUCCUAAUUGUAUUCUCAUUCCUAGAUUGGAUUCGUUCGGACCUUCUGCGAGCAUUCCUCCAAGAACAAGCACAGCUGAAGGCACCAUGGCCUAAACUACAAUUUCCAAGCUGUUUGUGAUUCCAGCUGCUGCUGCAAGGCCCAGCAAACGGGCUAGGCAUCUUUGGCCUACUGGCCAGAGCAUACCACAAGCUUUUUGGAGGAUUUAUGCAGGGAGUUUUAGCCCACCAAGAGGAGUUGCCAGUAUUGAGACUCGAACCUAAAUCUUGAUCGAGAGAAGAAAACGAUCAUUACCAACUCAACUGAAAAAACCAAAUUAUUGUAUGUAAUAAUUGUAUUUUUUCGGUUGGAAGUAAUUGUAGUAAAAGUCAAGACAGCACCAACUACACGUGCCCAAACAAAAUAACACACCAUAAGACGAACAAGAUUAUCG
rnacentral:sRNA from 1 species